UACGGAGGGUGCAAGCGUUUAUCCGGAUUCACUGGGUUUAAAGGGUGCGUAGGCGGGUUGGUAAGUCCGUGGUGAAAUCCCCAAGCUUAACUUGGGAACUGCCGUGGAUACUAUCAAUCUUGAAUAUCGUGGAGGUAAGCGGAAUAUGUCAUGUAGCGGUGAAAUGCUUAGAUAUGACAUAGAACACCAAUUGCGUAGGCAGCUUACUACACGAUCAUUGACGCUGAGGCACGAAAGCGUGGGGGAGCAAACGGG
rnacentral:rRNA from 1 species